rnacentral:misc_RNA from 1 species
UCCGGCCAUAGACCCACCGUCUUCCCAGUGUUGAAACUGUUUGCUCAACCUUUGUGCGGAAUUCUAGUAAGCUUUCACAUACAUGACAAUCUGCUCUGUGUGCAGAGUUAUUAGACUCAUCUGAUCUCACAAAGGCAAACACCUCCUCCCCACAAUUUGGGCAUGCUCCCUUGAGUGCCACCAAGUCAUUCCUCCAUAGGCCCAGGAGCACCUUAACAGAAGCCGAUGUAAUUGGAUAGCCAAUCAG